GCUUGCUUCUCUUGAGAGCGGCGGACGGGUGAGUAAUGCCUAGGAAUCUGCCUGGUAGUGGGGGAUAACGUUCGGAAACGGACGCUAAUACCGCAUACGUCCUACGGGAGAAAGCAGGGGACCUUCGGGCCUUGCGCUAUCAGAUGAGCCUAGGUCGGAUUAGCUAGUUGGUGAGGUAAUGGCUCACCAAGGCGACGAUCCGUAACUGGUCUGAGAGGAUGAUCAGUCACACUGGAACUGAGACACGGUCCAGACUCCUACGGGAGGCAGCAGUGGGGAAUAUUGGACAAUGGGCGAAAGCCUGAUCCAGCCAUGCCGCGUGUGUGAAGAAGGUCUUCGGAUUGUAAAGCACUUUAAGUUGGGAGGAAGGGCAUUAACCUAAUACGUUAGUGUUUUGACGUUACCGACAGAAUAAGCACCGGCUAACUCUGUGCCAGCAGCCGCGGUAAUACAGAGGGUGCAAGCGUUAAUCGGAAUUACUGGGCGUAAAGCGCGCGUAGGUGGUUUGUUAAGUUGGAUGUGAAAUCCCCGGGCUCAACCUGGGAACUGCAUUCAAAACUGACUGACUAGAGUAUGGUAGAGGGUGGUGGAAUUUCCUGUGUAGCGGUGAAAUGCGUAGAUAUAGGAAGGAACACCAGUGGCGAAGGCGACCACCUGGACUAAUACUGACACUGAGGUGCGAAAGCGU
rnacentral:rRNA from 1 species